UACGAAGGGGGCUAGCGUUGUUCGGAAUUACUGGGCGUAAAGCGUGCGCAGGCGGCUGCUCAAGUCAGGGGUGAAAGCCCAGAGCUCAACUCUGGAAUUGCCUUUGAGACUGAGUGGCUUGAGUACGGGAGAGGUGAGUGGAAUUCCCAGUGUAGAGGUGAAAUUCGUAGAUAUUCGCAAGAACACCAGUGGCGAAGGCGGCUCACUGGCCCGGAACUGACGCUGAGGCACGAAAGCGUGGGGAGCAAACAGG
rnacentral:rRNA from 1 species